GGAAAAAGGACAAAUUGCACUGUUUUUGGAAACAGAAGAGUUGGGUUCAAAUCCCAAUUUUUCUA
rnacentral:tRNA from 1 species